UGAGUACGAGAUGCUACGGCAUCGAAGCAGUCUAUGUCAUACUUCCAAGAAAAGCUUGCAAUGUCAUAAACAAAUAAUGCCUGUACCAUAACCGACACAGGUGGGUAGGUAGAGUAUACUAAGGGGCGCGAGAUAACUCUCUCUAAGGAACUCGGCAAAAUGACUCCGUAACUUCGGGAGAAGGAGUGCCUUAUUUUUAUAAGGUUGCAAUAACAAGAUCCAAGCAACUGUUUACCAAAAACACAGGUCUCCGCUAAGUCGUAAGACGAUGUAUGGGGGCUGACGCCUGCCCAGUGCCAGAAGGUUAAAGAAGUUGGUUAGCAUUAGCGAAGCUGAUAACUGAAGCCCUGGUGAACGGCGGCCGUAACAAUAACGGUCCUAAGGUAGCGAAAUUCCUUGUCGGGUAAGUUCCGACCCGCACGAAAGGCGUAAUGAUUUGGAUACUGUCUCGGAGAGGGGCUCGGCGAAAUAGACUUGUCUGUGAAGAUGCGGACUACCUGCACCUGGACAGAAAGACCCUAUGAAGCUUUACUGUAACUUGAGAUUGAAAUUGGACUUUAUCUGCGCAGUAUAGGUGGGAGACGUUGAAAAUAUUCUUGCGGGAAUAUUGGAGUCAUCAGUGAGAUACCACUCUUAUAAUGUUAGAUUUCUAACUUUGUAUCAUUAUCUGGUCAAAGAACAGUUUCAGGCGGGCAGUUUGACUGGGGCGGUCGCCUCCCAAACGGUAACGGAGGCGCACAAAGGUUUCCUCUGAACGUGUAGAAAUCGUAUCUAGAGUGUAAAGGCAUAAGGAAGCUUGACUGUGAGACCUACAAGUCGAGCAGGGACGAAAGUCGGUCUUAGUGAUCUGACGGUGCUGAGUGGAAAGGCCGUCACUCAACGGAUAAAAGUUACUCUAAGGAUAACAGGCUGAUCUCCCCCAAGAGUUCACAUCGACGGGGAGGUUUGGCACCUCGAUGUCGGCUCAUCGCAUCCUGGGGCGGUAGUACGUCCCAAGGGUUGGGCUGUUCGCCCAUGUAAGCGGUACGCGAGCUGGGUUCAGAACGUCGUGAGACAGUUCGGUCCAUAUCCGGUGUAGGCGUUAGAAUAUUGAGAGGAGCCUUCUUUAGUACGAGAGGACCGAGAAGGACAUACCUCUGGUGUACCAGUUAUCGUGCCAACGGUAAACGCUGGGUAGCCAUGUAUGGAGAGGAUAACCGCUGAAAGCAUCUAAGUGGGAAGCCCACCUCAAGAUAAG
rnacentral:rRNA from 1 species